AACGCACAUUGCGCCCGCCGGCAUUCCGGCGGGCAUGCCUGUCCGAGCGUCAUCUCAACCCUCGAGCCCCCGCGCUCGGUGUUGGGCGUCCCGCGCAGCCCGCGGGCGCCCCAAACGCAGUGGCGGCCCCGACCGACGGCCCGAGCGCAGUACAGAGCCUCGCCGGGACCCCGGGACGGGCGCCAGCCGUGAAAGCCCCAGACGCACUGUUGACCUCGGAUCAGGCAGGAACACCCGCUGAACUUAA
rnacentral:misc_RNA from 1 species